GUCACGAGUAGUACGUUAGAAAGAGAUGGACAUAUGGUAGAAAAUGUCAAAAUCAUAUGUUUAUUGUUUACUGUUCAGCUACUGUGUUUUCAAUCGAUAUUUCAUUCUCGUCACAAACAAUUUAGCAGAAAUCUAGGUUUUUAGAAUCGACUGCUACAUGCUAAUAAAGCGAAAGUGAUUUAUUUUUGGAAAUAAUAGACCAAUAAAGGAGUUUCUUUGUUAUUUCAUGUAUGUACAUAUAGGACAUGAUUUACAAAGAUUUACAAGGAAUAUACCUAGUCUACUUUCUAUAUUUCAUAAGGCCACAGCAAGAAUUUGUAGAGGUGACUUGAAUUUCGAGAUAGCAUGUCCGAAGAAAAUACUUAACUCUAAUCUGGAUUCAAUAUUAGGAAGAGAAAAGAUGUAAAUCAUUCAGUAAGCCCUGUGACAUCGGCAAACUAAAAACUCAAUAUUUUCUGUUGAUCAGUGUCACAGAAAUCUAACACUGGAAAGCCACACGAUAAAGAAACAGGAGCAGUAAAAUACUACUGCCAGGAGUGCCAGAGAAGAGCAACUAAACCACCUGAUGGAGAACCUUUCAAAAUAAUUGAAAAAAAAAUUGUGAAUGAUUAAUCAUCAUAUAAAUAUUUCCCCGGCAGUAAAUUUCAUAUUAUUUGUGAAAGUAUCAAUAAACAUACUCAAAAGUA